UUCCAUUGUUUUGGCAUUGAUGAUCAGUACAGCCAUGCAGAACUUCUGUACAGUUCCAGCCACCAUAAAAAAUCCCUUCUUUGUCUGCAGGUGGGCAAUGGCAAGUGUAAUUUCCAGGAAAAUUCUCACAGAUCCCACCAUUUUGGCAAGGGUUCGUGUAACAUUCAUUGACGUCUUCCUCACAGAUUAGCUUGCUCCACUUCUGUACCUGCUGAUGUAGUCUGAUGGUGUAUUUUGCCCAAGCCAGAUCAACAAGGCUUAAAGUUCACCAAAAGACUCAUACAGAGAACACAAAUUUGGAUUCAUUUAAUCUACAGUUCACAAUUGCUUUUAUGGAGAUGCUCAGAAAGCUGCUGCUUCUUCCAGCCUCUGACACAGGAAUAAAUUGAGUUUUCCUAUAACACAUUU